UACGGGGGGGGCAAGCGUUGUUCGGAAUUACUGGGCGUAAAGCGCACGUAGGCGGCUUUGUAAGUUAGAGGUGAAAGCCCGGGGCUCAACUCCGGAAUUGCCUUUAAGACUGCAUCGCUAGAAUUGUGGAGAGGUAAGUGGAAUUCCGAGUGUAGAGGUGAAAUUCGUAGAUAUUCGGAAGAACACCAGUGGCGAAGGCGGCAUCCUGGACCAACACUGACACUGAGGAGCGAAAGCCAGGGGAGCAAACGGG
rnacentral:rRNA from 1 species